GGGCGUAAAGAGUCUGUAGGCGUCCUAUUAAAUAUAAUAUCAAAGACCGGAGCCCAACUCCGGGCCGGUAUUGUAGACUGAUAGGAUAGAGUAAUGUAGAGGCAAGUAGAAUUCUGUGUGUAGGGGUUAUAUCCGUAGAUACACAGAGGAAUACCAAAAGCGAAGGCAGCUUGCUGGGCAUUUACUGACGCUAAAGGACGAAAGCGUGGGUAGCGAACAGGAUUAGAUACCCUGGUAGUCCACGCCGUAAACGAUGAUCACUCGUUGUCGGAGGCUUCGACCCCUUCGGUGACUAAGUUAACACUUUAAGUGAUCCGCCUGGGUAGUACGAUCGCAAGAUUAAAACUCAAAGGAAUAGACGGGGACCCACACAAGCGGUGGAGCAUCUGGUUUAAUUCGACAGUAAGCGAAAAACCUCACCAAGGCUUGACAUCCCGAGAAGAUUCCCGAAAGGGAAUUGUGCCGUUAGGAACUCGGUGACAGGCGCUGCAUGGUUGUCGUCAGCUCGUGCCUUGAGGUGUUCGGUUAAGUCCGUGAACGAGCGCAACCCUUGUCCUUAGUUGCAUAUUUCUAAGGAGACUGCCGGCUUUAAGUCGGAGGAAGGUAAGGAUGACGUCAAAUCAGCAUGGCCCUUAUGCCUUGGGCCACACAGGUGCUACAAUGGCUGGUACAAAAGGAAGCGAAAGAGCAAUCUGGAGCCAAUCCCCAAAGCCAGUCUUAGUUCGGAUUGAGGGCUGAAAUUCGCCCUCAUGAAGCUGGAAUCGCUAGUAACCGUGAAUCAG
rnacentral:rRNA from 1 species